rnacentral:lncRNA from 1 species
GGGAAGGCGGAGCCGUUGGGGAGCUUGAGGGGAAGCGUGGUCUCUCCCGGAAAAACCACUUCCACCGAGAACGCUGAGCGAGAGCCAGCACCUGGAUGGAGCACCUAAGGGAAGUGUUCAGAAAGACAUGUUUGUUGAGAGUUCUUACCGUGAAAAAAUAAAAAGAUUUGAUGACUUUUCUAAGAUAAUGAAUUCAGAAGCAUCUGGAGGUUUCAGUGUUUGGCCUCUGAAGGAGGGCUUAUAGGGCUUUUUAUAAGUCCUAAAGCACGUAGGUUCUUUUUGUUAUUCCCAAUUGGUUGCCUUGUAGAUUCCUACUAAAACCCUUAAUGAAAAGGACUAUGCGCUAUGGUUGUUCUAAAGAAAUAGAAGUAAUAGUAGGACUAGAG